rnacentral:rRNA from 1 species
UAGGGAAUCUUCCACAAUGGGCGCAAGUCUGAUGGAGCAACGCCGCGUGAGUGAAGAAGGGUUUCGGCUCGUAAAGCUCUGUUGUUAAAGAAGAACGUGGGUAAGAGUAACUGUUUACCCAGUGACGGUAUUUAACCAGAAAGCCACGGCUAACUACGUGCUAG